CAGGUACCAGUGGCCCAGGAGUUGGUAGACUUUUCUCCAGUGUACCGAUGCCUCCACAUCUAUACCGUUCUGGGUUCCCGGGAGCAGUUUGAGAACUACUACAGGAAUCAGAGAAGGAAACAGGCUCGCCUCGUACUGCAACCCCACUCUAACAUGCACGAAACCUUGGAAGGAUACAGGAGGUACUUCAAUCAAAUAGUAGGGUAAGUU